GAAAUGCGAUAAGUAAUGUGAAUUGCAGAAUUCAGUGAAUCAUCGAAUCUUUGAACGCACAUUGCGCCCUUUGGCAUUCCGAAGGGCAUGCCUGUUCGAGCGUCAUUACACCAAUCAAGCCUGGCUUGGUAUUGGGCGACGGGGGAUCGUUUACAACGCCCCCGCGCCCCAAAGACCCGACCGGCGGGACGGACCAAAUCUCAGCGUUGUGCAAACCAUUUGUCGCUGGCGAGACGGGACGGCCGUGCCGUGAAAACCCCCCUCUUUUCUGUAAUGUUGACCUCGGAUCAGGUAGGGAUACCCGCUGAACUUAAGC
rnacentral:misc_RNA from 1 species